rnacentral:rRNA from 1 species
UACGGGGGGGGCAAGCGUUGUUCGGAAUUACUGGGCGUAAAGGGCUCGUAGGCGGCCAACUAAGUCGGAUGUGAAAUCCCCAGGCUUAACCUGGGAACUGCAUCCGAUACUGGAUGGCUUGAAUUCGGGAGAGGGAUGCAGAAUUCCAGGUGUAGCGGUGAAAUGCGUAGAUAUCUGGAGGAACACCGGUGGCGAAGGCGGCAUCCUGGACCAACACUGACGCUGAGUGAGCGAAAGCCAGGGGAGCAAACGGG